UACAGAGGUGGCAAGCGUUGUUCGGAAUUACUGGGCGUAAAGGGCGCGUAGGCGGCCAUCUAAGUCAGACGUGAAAUCCCCCGGCUUAACCUGGGAACUGCGUCUGAUACUGGACGGCUGGAGUUUGGGAGAGGGAUGUAGAAUUCCAGGUGUAGCGGUGAAAUGCGUAGAGAUCGGGAGGAACACCGGCGGCGAAGGCGGCUGCCUGGACCAGUCCUGACGCUGAGGCGCGAAAGCUAGGGGAGCAAACAGG
rnacentral:rRNA from 1 species